GACGAACGCUGGCGGCGUGCUUAACACAUGCAAGUCGAACGGAAAGGCACUAACUUCCUGGAGUAAUCGAGUGGCGAACGGGUGAGUAACACGUGGGUAAUGUGCCCUGCACUCUGGGAUAAGCCUGGGAAACUGGGUCUAAUACUGGACAUGAUCUUACCCCCUAUGGGGAGCGGUGGAAAGUUUUUCGGUGUAGGAUGAGCUGGCGGCCUAUCAGCUUGUUUGUGGGGUGAUGGACUACCAAGGCGACGACGGGUAGCCGGCCUGGGAGGGGGGACGGCCACAAUGGGACUGAGGUACGGCCCAGACUCCAACGGGGGGCAGCAGUGGGGAAUAUUGCACAAUGGGAGGAAGCCUGAUGCAGCGGCGCCGCGUGAGGGAUGACGGCUUUCGGGUUGUAAACCUCUUUCAGCAGGGACGAAGCGUAAGUGACGGUACCUGAAGAAGAAGCACCGGCUAACUAUGUG
rnacentral:rRNA from 1 species